UGGACAUUCCAUCGUGAGGAGGGGCCCUGUGACUGCAGAUACUCAAUGCCUUCCAAGUGCGCUGGUGCCACCUUCAAGUGACACUUCUCAGAGUGUCACCCAGUGGCCCAGAGGCUCCCUAGUGUGUAGUCCACCCUCACUUAGACACGGCGGCCUGUACCUGACAUCCACACUCCCCACCUGCUGCCACCCACAGGAGCAUUUCAGGGCAUCACGAAUUGGUGGCUUUUCUUUCCAGUUCAACAGGCAUCUCCCAAGUCACCUGUGAUGAUUGCUUUUAUAUGUCCACGUGGCCACACUCAUCUAGACAUUGCUCUGAAGGUAUUGUGGUUGUGGUUAAUCUCUAUCAUCAGUUGACCUUAGGUGGAGGAGGUGACCUUUGAUGAUGUGAGUGAGCCCUGUCUAAGCAGGUGAAGGCAUUGAGAGCAAAACCUGAGGUUUCCCAGAAAAGGAGAAAUUUUGCCUCAAGGCUGCAGCUUCAGCUCCUGAUUUCAGACCUGCUGGCCCCACAAUCACUUGAGCCGAUUUAAAAAAUCUAUCCAUCAAUCAAUGUAUCCAUCCACCCAUCAACUCACCUAUUCAUACAUGUACUCAUCCUUGCAUCCAUUCAUCCCUCCCUCCUUCUUUCCCUCCUUCGUUCAUUCUUCUCCUCCCCCCCUCCCUCCCUCCCUCCCUCCCUUCUCUUCUUUCCUCCUUCUUCCCCCAAUCCCUUCCCUCCUUCCCUCCCUUCUCCCCAUCCCCAUCCACGGAUCCAUCCUAUGGACCCCAUCCUAUGUGUCCCUGAAGACCCCCGAGUGGCAUAGCAUUCGUUUGCAUGUGUGUGGCAUUGGCAGGGAAGUCUGGGCAGGGGGUGGUCAGUGCAAUGACUUGGGCCUGAAAGAAUGAGGUUUUGGUGGUGAGCUCUUCCCCUGUGGAGCUGAAUGUGCAGCCGUGUGUUUUGUUCACGGCUUCCUGCGUCUGCCCUCUAGAGGCCCACAGAAGCCUCGCACCUCCCUGGCCCGGCGUCUGCGGGUGAAUUGUCUGAGCAGGAGCACAGCGGUUUAAGCUUCAUGUUCUCCGGGCCCAGGUGAAAUACUCUCACCCCCUCUGAUGGCCACUUUCCAAUCCUGUUAUCCGCCCCCAGUCUUGUGAUUUGUCCCACAGCAAACACUCCUUCCAGGUGUGAGUUGUGCCAAGGAACACUGUUUCGUUGUCACACAUAGUACUUAGACUCAGUGAGUGAAGAGACACUUGGUCCCGGGCCCCCUUCUCUGCACACACUGCCCUGUGUGCUACAGCAUGCCAGGCAGGGUGCCAGGACCGCAGGCCCGUGAAGACCAUGGCGGCGGCUGUCUGAAGACCAGCUCACAGCAGGAGCUGCGCUGAGAUCUUCUCCUGGGUGCUCAUGCUGGGGCCCGAGGUCGUAUGGAAAAGGCUUGUCCCCCUUGCUGGAUGUCACAAGGCUCGGGGCCGUCUCCCCACCUGGACUGUU
rnacentral:lncRNA from 1 species